rnacentral:rRNA from 1 species
GACGAACGCUGGCGGCGUGCUUAAUACAUGCAAGUCGAACGGUGAGGCGCCUUCCUUUCUGGUGGGUUUGGAUGUGCGGCCAACGGGUGAGUAAGACGUGAGUACACCGCCCCUUUCUUCUGGAUAACCGCAUGAAGGUGUGGCUAUUCCGGGAUAUUUUGGGUCUGUUGCUUGAUGGGUGUGGGACGGAUGUUGUUUCGCUGGGGGAUGGGCUCGCGCCGUAUCAGCUUGUUGGUGGGGUGAGGGCCUACCAAGGCGAUGAAGGGUAGCCGGCCUGAGAUGGUGGACGGCCAGACUAAGACGACGCCGCGGCGCAGACUCCUAGGGGAGGCAGCAGUGAGGAAUAUUGCACAAUGGACGGAAGGCUGAUGCAGCGACGCCUCGUGAGGGAUGGAGGCCUGCGCGUUGUAAACCUCUUUCGCCGGUGAAGCAGGCCUGCCUCGGUUGUGGGUGGGUUGACGGUAGCUAGAUAAGAAGCGCCGGCUAACUACGUG